AACUGCCCCAUUCGUCCUGCAGUUUGGCUCUAAGCCGAAUGAAGCAACGUUGGAUUUCUGCACCUUCGUGUCUCGUCACUGGAAAUGGCUGACCUGCAAGUUUCAAACAAGAUAGGAGGGAACUGCAGAUGCUGGUUUACACUGAAGAUAGACACAGAAUGCUGGAGUAACUCAGCGGGUCAGGCAACAUCUUUGGAGAAAAGGAACAGCCCUGGAACGGUACGUUGCCAUGUGAUAAAGUUACCAGAUGUGCCGGUGCUGCAGGCACAGCUGGAUUAACCCUCAGCCAACUUCAGUGCAAUGGAAAGGCUAUACAUGGAUCAAUGUCAGAGAAAGGGGGAAACUACCACCUGAUGCCUCCUGUCAAAAUCCUGUUACAGCUUGGCAUUUAAUACAAUCAUCCCCUCCAAGCUGGUUACCAAACUCGCAGAACUGGGUCUCUGCGCAGCCCUCUGCAAUUGGAUCCUCAACUUCCUCAUUCACAGACCACAGUCUGUUCGUAUUGGUGGAAAUGUGUCAGCCUCGAUUACAAUCAGCAUGGGAGCACCUCAAGGCUGCGUGCUGUACUCACUCUAUACUGAUGACUGUGUAGCCGGUCAUAGUGCGAACUCCAUCAUCAAGUUCGCUGACGACACCACUGUUGUGGGACGUAUCACUGAUGGGGAUGAGUCAGAUUAUAGAAGAGAGAUCGAGUGACUGUCUAUAUGGUGCCAGCACAAUAACCUGGCCCACAACACCAGCAAAACCAAGGAAUUGAUUGUGGACUUUGGAGGGAUUAGGAUGGGGACCCACAGUCCAGUUUAUUUCAACGGGUCGAUGGUUGAAAGGGUCAAGAGCUUCAAAUUCCUGGGCGUGCACAUCUCUGAAGAUUUUUCCUGGUCCGAGAACACUGAUACAAUUAUUAAGAAAGCACAUCAGCGCCUCUACUUCCUGAGAAGAUUACGGAGAGUCGGUUUGUCAAGGAAGACUCUCUCUAACUUCUACAGGUGCACAGUAGAGAGCAUGCUGACCGGUUGCAUCGUGGCUUGGUUCGGCAAUUUGAGCGCCCUGGAGAGGAAAAGACUACAAAAAGUAGUAAACACUGCCCAGUCCAUCAUCGGCUCUAACCUCCCUUCCAUCGAGGGGAUCUAUCGCAGUCGCUGCCUCAAAAAGGCUGGCAGUAUCAUCAAGAACCCACACCAUCCUGGCCACACACUCAUCUCCUUGCUCCCCAUUCAGGUAGAAGGUACAGGAGCCUGAAAACUGCAACGACCAGGUUCAGGAAUAGCUACUUCCCCACAGCCAUCAGGCUAUUAAACUUGGCUCAGACAAAAUUCUGAACAUUAAUAGCCCAUUAUCUGUUUAUUUGCACUUCAUCAGUUUAUUUAUUCAUGUGUGUAUAUAUUUAUAUAAGGGUAUGUGGACACACUGAUCUGUUCUGUAGUCAAGCCUAACAUGUUCUGUUGUGCUGAAGCAAAGCAAGAAUUUCAUUGUCCUAUCAGGGCAUGACAAUAAACUCUCUUGAAUCUUGAAAAUCAUGAGAGGAAUAGAUCGGGUAGAUGCACAGAGUCCCUUGCCCAGAGUAGGUGAAUCCAGGACCAGAGUACAUAGGUUUAAGGUGAAGGGGACAAGAUUUAAUAGGAAUUUGAGGGGCUAACUUCUUCACACAAAGGGUGGUGGGUGUGGAACGAGCUGCCAGAGGAGGUAGAUGAGGCAACAACUAUCCCAACAUUUAAGAAGCAGUUAGACAGGUACAUGGAUAGGACAGGUUUGGAGGGAUAUGGACCAAAUGCAGGCAGGUGGGAUUAGUGUAGCUGGGACAUGUUGGCCGGUGUGGGCAAGUUGGCCGGUGUGGGCAUGUUUGGCCGAAAGACUUGUUUCCCCACUUUAUCACUCUAUGACUCUAUGGUACCCAUGUUUAUUCUCUCAGUUUCAGGAUAGUGUUUAGUUUAGUAUAGAGAUAUAGCGCAGAACCAGGUUCUUUGGCUCACCGAGUCCAUGCCGACCAGCGAUCUCCGCACACUAACACCUUCCUACACACACUAGGGACAAUUUAAAAUUUUACCAAGCUCAUUAAGCUACCAACCUGUACAUCUUUGGAAUGUAGAAGGAAACCAGAGAUCCCAGAGAAAGCCCACGCAAGUCACGGGGAGAACGUACAAACUUAUUACAGACAGCACCCAUUGUCAGGAUCGAACCCGGAUCUCUGGCGCUGUAAGGCAGCAACUCUACUGCUGCACCACCGUGAUGUGAUGUUAUGUUCACAGUUUUGUCCAACAUCACUUCAUUGAUUUUUCAAAGUGAUGUAAUGUUAAUGGCAUUGUAACCAUUCCGACCGAGCAUUUUACCAGAUUCUUGCAGUGGAGUCCUAAUAAACAGCAAGGAGACACCACUGGUGACUAUGUGUGAGUCUGAAUAUACUUCUGUGUGUUUAAUUUGCUCCAUUUCCCUGCGUGCGUGUGUUUGUUUAUGUAUGGUCAUGAGAGAAAUUCAUUAUUCUGUGUAAUUAAUGGCUCCUCAUCAAAUGUGAGCCGCCAAAAUAGGACUUCAUCAGGAGAACAUUUCAAACAUUUCACAAUAAAGGCGGGCCAGUCUGAAACACAACAAAAAUGGAAUGUGGUCAAUGCAAAUGUUUAUUACUGCAUACAAGCACUGCGGAUAGAGAGAGUGAACCAGUCAAGAUCAAAGUGGUUUAACAGUCUUCCCUGCCUCUCAAUGAUUCAUUACUUUCCCGACAAUAUGUACAGUCAGAAUGAAAACCCAGAUGUACUCCACUGGCAAAUCCACUCCAGGUAUUGGAUUGAUUAGCUCCAACUUUUAUGUGUAAAUCGUGGAAAAAUUCACCUGAACCAAGUGUGCAUCACGUUAGCAAUCUUUUCCUGGUGAUCCUCUGCCCAUCUGAAGCAGACUCUUGGCUGCAUUAUCCCCGUUAGGAUGUCUGAUGUGCGUCUGGUGUGAGUCAUGCACCCAAUGCAGCCAAUUAUUGCACAAUGCCCACUUCUACCCUUUACAAGUUCAUAAGUUCUAGGAGCUAUUCGGCCCAUCAAGUCUAUUCCGUCAUUCAAUCAUAGCCGAUCGAUCUCAUUCUCCUGCCUGAUGGGGAGAAGGCAGGCACGGGUUAUUGAUAGGGGGCAAUCAGCCAUGAUCACAAUGAAUGGCGGUGCUGGCUCGGCCGAAUGGCCUCCUCCUGCACCUAUUUUCUAUGUUUCUUUGUUCUAAAUUACUUCCCUGUGUAUAUACUGCCUAUUUGUCCUGAAUUGAUCACUAGAAUCCCCAAGAUUCCUGCAUAUGUCAACCCCAGGCUCAACCGUUACUAUCGCUUAAGAGAUUUAUUUUUCCAACGAGUUUAACGUGAAAUGCUCGAUUAACUUAUUGCACCGACUUGCGUGUUUAUAGUGGUGCUCUGGUAAAUCCAUCCCCUUCCCAGCAUUGCCAAAGCGGAUGUUGCUGUAUCUUUUAUACAUCUCAGUAGCAAGAGCGACUGUACUUCAGAUUGUACUUCCAGCUGUUUCUGACAGCCGUUUAUUGCCACAUGAACUCCCAAAAGAUUCAUCCGUUGAAACAAGCCACCCCACCUCCUCCUCGCUGCGGUAAUUGAUAUUCUGCGAUAAAAGGUGGAAGGACUUAGCAGCCCGACCUUUUUUUUCGUUGAACAUUCUGCAAUUUGCUCUUUUGUCCUCCCCGCAGUCUAAUUAUCAACCCCCGAUCCAAUUCUUGGGGAAAAUGAACUAUUGGCCACCCUCACAAUCCCGAAAAAGUGUGUGGUCAUCUGAUUUAAUUUGCCUUGUGAAAUAGAGGUGCUUAGUGGCGAUGCCUCCCAGACAGUGGUGAAGACAGCCGGCUACCUUUUGAUGGUUGUUUGAAAGCCCUUUGGAGCCUUGCAGCUUUCCGCUCCAGAGCGUGCAGGCACCACAUGUUUAUAUAGCUGGGCUUUCUAAAUCGGAAGCUCAGAAAACCUUUUAAAUCCUAAUUCAAUUAAAGAAUGUGGAUUUCUACACCUGCACGUGCUGGGCACACAAUUAGUGUUCACGAUAUGUAUUCAAGAGAGAGUUAGGUAUAGCUCAUAUACGGUGUAACUCGUAUAGCUCAGAGGGCUAACGGAAUCAAAGGAUGUGGGGAGAAAGCAGGAAUGGGGUACUGAUUGUGGAUGAUCAGCCAUGAUCAUAUUGAAUGGCGGUGCUGGCUCGACGGACCGAAUGUCCUACUCCAGCACCUAUUUUCUAUGUUUCUAUGAUUCUAGUGUUAAGAGCCUGUCCCACGAGCAUGCGACUCCAUGCGACAAGCGCGACCUAACGUGGUCGCUUGAGCCGUAUGUAGUUGUGCGGAGCUGGUCCCGACAUCUGAAAAACUGACUGUGUUAAAAAAUUCCGCGCGGCAACAACGCCGUACGCACCGCCUCGACGGGCAUGCGCAGCGUCUCGACACCAUACGCAUGUCUUGACGCUGUAUGUCACGUGCGAACUUCCCGCGGACUUCGCUCGAACUUCACGUCACUCACUCGACCUCCGCGCGGCCCCCGCUUCCAGUUUGGUCGCGCUCGCCGCAU